AUAACCCAAGCUGCCUGUUAGGCGCUGGAAGGUUAUAGGGUUAUUUCACCGGGUACACAUUUUCUCGCUGGGUGAACAGAGGCAAUUUUGAACAAACUCACUUGCCUAAGGUGGGACCACAUGUAUCACAUGUUCAU